UACAGAGGUCCCAAGCGUUGUUCGGAUUCAUUGGGCGUAAAGGGUGCGUAGGCGGCGCGGUAAGUCGGGUGUGAAAUCUCGGGGCUUAACUCCGAAACUGCAUUCGAUACUGCCGUGCUUGAGGACUGGAGAGGAGACUGGAAUUUACGGUGUAGCGGUGAAAUGCGUAGAUAUCGUAAGGAAGACCAGUGGCGAAGGCGGGGUCUCUGGACAGUUCCUGACGUGAGGCACGAAGGCCAGGGGGAGCAAAACGGGG
rnacentral:rRNA from 1 species